rnacentral:rRNA from 1 species
AGAGUUUGAUCCUGGCUCAGAUUGAACGCUGGCGGCAGGCCUAACACAUGCAAGUCGAGCGGAUGAAGGAGCUUGCUCCUGGAUUCAGCGGCGGACGGGUGAGUAAUGCCUAGGAAUCUGCCUGGUAGUGGGGGACAACGUUUCGAAAGGAACGCUAAUACCGCAUACGUCCUACGGGAGAAAGCAGGGGACCUUCGGGCCUUGCGCUAUCAGAUGAGCCUAGGUCGGAUUAGCUAGUUGGUGAGGUAAUGGCUCACCAAGGCGACGAUCCGUAACUGGUCUGAGAGGAUGAUCAGUCACACUGGAACUGAGACACGGUCCAGAUCCUACGGGAGGCAGCAGUGGGGAAUAUUGGACAAUGGGCGAAAGCCUGAUCCAGCCAUGCCGCGUGUGUGAAGAAGGUCUUCGGAUUGUAAAGCACUUUAAGUUGGGAGGAAGGGUUGUAGAUUAAUACUCUGCAAUUUUGACGUUACCGACAGAAUAAGCACCGGCUAACUCUGUGCCAGCAGCCGCGGUAAUACAGAGGGUGCAAGCGUUAAUCGGAAUUACUGGGCGUAAAGCGCGCGUAGGUGGUUUGUUAAGUUGGAUGUGAAAUCCCCGGGCUCAACCUGGGAACUGCAUCCAAAACUGGCAAGCUAGAGUAUGGUAGAGGGUGGUGGAAUUUCCUGUGUAGCGGUAAAUGCGUAGAUAUAGGAAGGAACACCAGGCGAAGGCGACCAC